CACGUAGGGGGGCAAGCGUUGUCCGGAUUUAUUGGGCGUAAAGAGCUCGUAGGCGGUUCGGUAAGUCGGGUGUGAAACCUCCAGGCUCAACCUGGAGACGCCACCCGGAUACUGCUGUGACUAGAGUCCGGGUAGGGGAGCGUGGAAUUCCUGGUGUAGCGGUGAAAUGCGCAGAUAUCAGGAGGAACACCAGCGGCGAAGGCGGCGCUCUGGGCCGGAACUGACGCUGAGGAGCGAAAGCGUGGGGAGCGAAACAGG
rnacentral:rRNA from 1 species